GCAUUGUCAGCACCGAUGCCCCGCUACGAAGUACGGCGCUCAAGCAGCACCCUGAACUCACUGGACGACAACGGGCUGUUCGCGUCUCUGCGAAACCACAUUGCAAGCGCAGCGAACGACGCGGAAGAUCAGUUUCGUUCUGAAUUGAACACCCGCACUCGUGUAUCGUGCGAGGUCGUCUCAGCCACCACGCCUUCCAACUCGAGGGCUGGGAGCCUGGCUGACGCGGCGGCGAGCCUGCGGCAACUCUCCUCCGGUCGCAGGGGAUCGUCUGUGGGCUGUGCCCACUUUUCAGGUCGUGACACUACGCCACAGGCCGCCGCCGACCCCAGCGAAGGAGGAGGUGCCCUCGGGUUAGGCGCGGUUGUGGCGCAUAUGUCCGCCGCUUUCCGAAACUACCUCGCCGACAUGACUGCGGACGCACCGGCGGAGCUGAGUCAUGGCGUCCAGCGCGAAGAUCGCCUUUCAACACCUCCGGUUCGUCAAGAAUCGCUGGGCCGCUUCUCGGUGGCACCUGCCGCAGCGGAGUUGCCAGGCCGCGUCGAGGAGCCCGUGGACGCUCCCAAGUCGGCGACGACUGAGACUCGGGACGACCCCUUGGGCGUCGGCGGAGCGGCUCGUCGUUGCAACUUCCCUCUCCGCUCCCAGGACGCCGUUCUCGAUCCGCGCAUGCUGACGUCCCCAAGAGACGAUCACGGUUCUGCCCGUGCGGAGAACGUCCCCAGCCAUUCCGUGCCCCUAAGCCACUUCCCUUCGACCGAGAGGAAGCAGUCGCGCCGCUCUUCGUCGCUCGGCCAGCUAAAGCGCUUCGCAAAGUUUCGCAUCUCGCUGAGAAACGGUGACUCUGCGCAGUGCGACGAACGGCCAAUCAUCCAGGAUGGCGGCCUGUCCAGCUAUGAACGGAACCUGUACCUUUACCACGAGGAAAUGCCCGACCGUCCAAGGGUGGCUACAUUGCUCAGCAGCCUGGCCAACUACGAAGUGGCGAUCCCGUCUGUCGCGGGGGAAGAGGCCCAGGCUGCUCCCAAGAAAGCCAAUCUUGGGACGUUGGCGGGUGUUUACUUCCCCUGUAUCCAAAACAUCUUCGGUGUCAUCUUCUUCAUCCGUCUCGUCUGGAUAGUCGGCACAGCCGGCGUCCCUGUCGCCUUCCUCACCGUCUUUAUGUGCUGUUGUGUGACAUUUACAACUUGCAUUUCUUUGAGCGCUAUUGCAACCAAUGGAAUUGUGCCAGCGGGUGGUUCCUACUUUAUGAUCUCGCGAUCCCUGGGUCCGGAGUUUGGAGGUGCUGUGGGAAUUCUCUUCUACCUAGCCACCACCGUGGCAGCAGCCAUGUACAUUACUGGCGCUGUUGAAAUAUUUCUGAAUUAUCUGGUGCCUGAGAUGUCUUUGUACGGAGACUUCCGGGAAGAUCCAGAGGUCAUGUACCACAACUUCCGUACCUAUGGCAGCAUCCUGCUGGUGCUGAUGACCUUUGUGGUCUUCAUUGGUGUUGCCUUCGUCUCCAAGCUUGCACCGAUUGCCCUCUUCUGUGUUCUCAUCUCCAUCACUUCUGUAUAUGUGGGAGCCUUCGUCAGCUAUGCUGGAAAGCCAGGUGUUGAGAUUUGUGUUCUGGGUGAUCGCAUCCUGAGUGGUGGAGAUUACAACUGCACCAAGGACCGUAACGUUUCCAACUCUCUUUGGCACAUUUUCUGCAAAGAGAAUGAAAACAAAUCACUGGAAGAGGACCACACUUGCUACCCGUAUUUCGAGGAACAUGAGGCGCACACACGAAGUGCGCUGCCUGGUCUGGCCAGUGGUGUCUUCUUUGAGAACAUUCCUGUCAUGUUUAAGGAGAAAGGUGAAGUGAUCUCAGCAUCAGAUGAAUCUUACUUCCCGUCCAAGAGCGAGUCAUACAUCCAGAUUUUGUGUGACAUUACCACUUCCUUCACUUUCCUUGUGGCCAUUUUCUUCCCUUCAGUUACUGGCAUUAUGGCUGGAUCAAAUCGUUCUGGGGACUUAGCUGAUGCUCAGAAGUCAAUCCCUGUUGGAACCUUGGCUGCACAACUGACUACUUCUAUUGUCUACAUUUCUGGAGUGUUUCUUUUUGGUGCAGCAUUUGACAACCUUUUCCUCAGAGACAAGUUUGGCGAAAGCAUAGGAGGUGGCCUAGGGGUGGCACAGUUGGCCUGGCCCCAUCCAUUGCUAGUGGUGUUGGGAUCUCUCCUGUCUACAAUUGGAGCUGGACUGCAGUCUCUCACUGGUGCACCACGUCUGCUUCAAGCCAUUGCCAAAGAUGGCGUUAUUCCUGUGCUCAAUGUCUUCGCGGUCAGUUCCUCAAGGGGCGAGCCCGUGCGGGCCUUGCUUCUCACUGCAUUCAUCUCGGAGCUGGGCAUCCUCAUUGGCAACCUUGAUCACAUUGCCCCCAUCCUCACUAUGUUCUUCCUGAUGUGUUACAUGUUUGUAAACUUGGCCUGCACUCUGCAGAGCCUUCUCAAGACACCGAAUUGGAGGCCACGUUUUAAGUACUACCACUGGUCACUUUCCUUGGCGGGAGUGAUUCUUUGCCUCGUGGUCAUGUUUUUAAGCAGUUGGUACUAUGCACUUGCUGCCAUGGCAAUUGCAGGAAUCGUGUAUAAGUACAUUGAAUACCGGGGAGCUGAGAAAGAAUGGGGAGAUGGUCUACGUGGUCUAGCCCUGAGUGCUGCCCGCUACAGUCUGCUACGCUUAGAAGAAGGACCACCCCAUACUAAGAACUGGAGACCCCAAGUGCUUGUCCUGUGCAAACUCAACCAAGACUACAUGCCCAAAUAUCGCAAGCUUAUCACCUUUGCCUCACAACUCAAGGCUGGAAAAGGCCUGACACUCGUCUGCUCUGUUUUGGAAGGAGAGUACAGCAAAAUGUACAGUGAAUGCCAGGCAAGCAAACAGAGCUUGAAGAAAGUACUUGAAGAAGAGAGAGUGAAGGGCUUUGCGGAUGUUGUUUCUGGAGGAAAUACCAUUGAUGCCAUCUGCCAUAUCAUCCAAACUGCUGGCCUUGGUGGACUCAAACACAACACUGUUAUCCUUGGCUGGCCGUAUGGUUGGAGGCAGUCUCCUGAUGAGCGCUCAUGGAAGGUUUUCAUUGAAACUAUUCGAAAUGUUUCGGCUAGCAAGAAUGCUCUCCUUGUGCCAAAGAACAUCAACCAGUUUCCAGAUAACACCGAGAAGCUCCAUGGAACGAUUGACGUGUGGUGGAUUGUUCAUGAUGGUGGCCUGCUCAUGCUCUUGCCAUUCCUGCUGAGGCAGCACAAGGUUUGGAAGAACUGCAAGCUGAGGAUCUUCACUGUUGCUCAGCUUGAAGACAACAGCAUUCAAAUGAAGAAAGACCUGGCCAUGUUCCUCUACCACCUGAGAAUAGAUGCAGAAGUGGAAGUUGUGGAAAUGAAUGACAGCGACAUCUCGGCAUACACCUAUGAAAGAACAUUAAUGAUGGAGCAGCGUACAGAGAUGCUCAAGCAUAUGAGGCUGAGCAGGCGAGAAACCUUGAGCAUGAUUCAAACAAUUGUGGAUCAUCACCACAAUCCUCUCCAGAACCAUACUAGUUCAAAGGUGCGGUUUAGUGACAAACCACCUCAGCAAGCUGGUGACUCAGAAUUGGUGGAUGUAGUUGCUGAUGAAGACAAUCGUUCGUCACGCCACUCAUCCCGGCACUCAUCGCCAACAAAGUCUGCCUCAGGUUCACCUACAAAGCAGGCUUCUUCACCACCCAAAGAGAGCUCACCUGUCACUGCUGCUGAGGAUGAUGGGAAAGCAAAAACUGAAAGCCCAGAGAAGAAAGCACAGGACGGCUCUGGAGAUGCCAGCGCUGCUUCUUCUAAUGGAGUGGCAAGCAAGGGCCCCUCUGCCACACCAGCUGUUGCUGCUGCUGCCACAUCGGAUAGCCAGAAGCCAGAGUUCGACAGCCUCAUGAAAAUAAAGCCGGAUGAAGCCAAUGUGCGCCGUAUGCACACUGCAGUGAAACUGAAUGAGGUCAUCGUAAAUAAAUCGCAUGACUCCAAGUUGGUAAUCAUCAACCUUCCUGGACCUCCUAGGAUCCAGAGAGGAGAGGAAAACUACAUGGAGUUCUUGGAAGUGCUCACAGAAGGUCUUGAGCGUGUACUGAUGGUUCGUGGUGGAGGCCGUGAAGUGAUCACCAUCUACUCUUGAGCUGAUGGUACCCCCUGCAGAGUUGCCCUUGCUGUGACCCUGCUUGAAGAGCUCAUGGCAGUGCUCUUCUCUUCCGCUGUCAUACUGUAUUAUUUAUUUUUUUGUGCAUUUUUAGAGCGUCUAAAAGUAAGUAAGAUGCCCCCUUUCAAGGUGGUUUUGAGACAAGAGUCAAGCCUUGUGGCAUGCCUGUUUAUGUCGCGAAGAUUGUGACAAAUGAAAUGUGACACACAUACUGAAACGUGCUGUAAACUGUUGUACUUAAGUAACAUUCUACACCAACCACUGAUAAGGGUUACUAUGAGAAGUAAAGUGCCACUCGAAUGUAAUGGAACGUAGUGCCACUGUUAUUAUGUAAGUUUUUGUCAGCCGAGACGCGAUAAAACAGAAAAGGCUGUGUGAUGCACUACAUAGCUUAUGAAUAAGGACUGUGUUUUUAAACAUUGAUAUAAUGUGACUCACUUUUUGAAGAUAUUUAUUGGCAUCAAUAUUUGUUUAUAAAGGGUUGGUCCAGCUGCUUCCAGACAUAAUAAAUCCUAUUACUGCCAUUGUGUUCCAAAUUACAAGUCUAUGUUAACUGCAGACAGUCUUUCUCAUGGCUGCAGAAAUUAUUUGUAAGGUCAUACUUUGACUUGGUUUAUGAAACAUAAGUCAAUGGCUCUGUUCAACUUGCAUCUCUUGCCUUGUGAUAAUGUGCGUGCAUGCAUAUGUGCCCAAAGCCAGUCACUGCAGUUUUCAGCAAAGGACCCCUGAUGUGCCACCCAAAAGUUGUGAUCCAUUGUACGAGAGCUAAGAGUUUAGACAUUUAGAGAGUGAUAUUGCUGUGAUUGGUUGUUUCUGUCUUAAAGUUGGCUGCCUUGUGGAAAUGCAGAGCAAACUGCAAGCAAACAGCUGGGCCUCUGAAGUGUGAGGCACUGCCGGCCAACUUUUAUAGAUCUCAUUGUGGGAUCUGCAAAAUAUGUUGAUGCAGUAGUACUGCCACAAUGCUCGACAUCUUGUGCACAUGUUUCAGUGAUUAAAGCUGCUUAUUUAGUAAACAGCUGCAGGGUGAUCUUUUGAAGGCAGACUUGCCUUUUCUUUUUUUUCUUCCAGAGUUUUAUGUGUGCUCAAGUCUGGUAAAAUGGUUGCAAUUUUUUUUUUCUUAGUUCUAAGUGCAUUGGUGUAGCUUUCCUUUGCGUGUGCUUAACAAACAGUGCAUUGUAGUUAAGUAUAUCAUACUUGUGAAUACCUGUGACCUAAUCAUACAAACAUGAAUCAUCAUGUGCAAAAGUGCUAGUCGCAUUCCCAAGUGUGUUUGUAACGUUGUUUGUUCUGUUUCUCAUUACAGCACCAUAUGUGUGUUUUCCUGUGCGAAUUCUUCUUGCUGCAUUUCUCCAUCUUUCCUUUUCUGCAAGAUGUAAAUCUGUUGGUCUUUUUAUUAUUAUAGUAAUUAUCUACUUGUCAGCUGAAUUGUCCUUUAGUGUGCAGUUCCGAAUGACAGCAUCCACAUAGAGAUCAUUUGGUGGUGUUGGUGUAUUGCAAGCUAGCUGUAACUUGUUUCACCAGUGUUUACACAGGUGGACAACUCUUAAGAGUUAUCACUGUGAAAUCACUGGAUGACUUGGCAUGUUUCACAGAAACUAAACACGUCUACCUGCAAAAUGUGAAUAACGUAGCAGCAUGCAUUUGCAAUUCAUGCUGUAGGCCAGUCUAAAUGUGCUCUGCCUUUCAUUUGCUCCUAUACACUUCUCUUGCUGUGUCCUUCUCUUUGUGAGCCUUAUUAUCGAGGAUCUAUGAUGGCUUUUAAUACCUUUGCAUAGAUUUUGCAUGGUCCUUGCAGAAUGUAGUUGUGUAGAAGCUGGGAGAUCUUUGUGUAUAUGUACCACAAGCAAAACCAUAGUACCUUGUAGCCAUAUGUACACAUGUGACAAUCCUCCCAGCAGCAUUUCUUUUAUCUGCAAGGCUCAACAAAACAACUGCACUUAGUAACAAAAAUGAAAUGAAGACAAUGUUGUUUUAAAAUAUUGGUUAACUUGAAGUGCAUUGGAGUGGCUCAGGGCUGUUUGCUUUUCCUGGCUGUUCUUUACAAAGUUGCAAUAAAUAAUGCCUAGUGACUUCAAGUUACAUGAA
rnacentral:misc_RNA from 1 species